CAGUAGCCGCGGUAAUACGUAGGGUGCAAGCGUUGUCCGGAAUUAUUGGGCGUAAAGAGCUCGUAGGCGGUUUGUCGCGUCUGCUGUGAAAACCCGAGGCUCAACCUCGGGCCUGCAGUGGGUACGGGCAGACUAGAGUGCGGUAGGGGAGAUUGGAAUUCCUGGUGUAGCGGUGGAAUGCGCGGAUAUCAGGAGGAACACCGAUGGCGAAGGCAGAUCUCUGGGCCGUAACUGACGCUGAGGAGCAAAAGCGUGGGGAGCAAACAGGAUUAGAUACCCCAGUAGUCCCUGUCUCUUAUAC
rnacentral:rRNA from 1 species